AACGGUCUAUACCUGCGGUACCUGCGGAAGGAUCAUUACCGAGUUUACAAAACUCCCAAACCCUUUGUGAACCUUACCUAUCGUUGCUUCGGCGGGAACGCCCCGGCGCCCUCGCGGCCCGGAACCAGGCGCCCGCCGGAGGCCCCAAACCCUCAUGUCUUUAGUGGUUUCCUCCUCUGAGUGACAUAAACAAAUAAAGUAAAAACUUUCAGCAAUGGAUCUCUAGAUCGGAAGAGCACA
rnacentral:misc_RNA from 1 species